UUUGGGUGGAAAACCCUCAGGCGCAAUGAAAGUAAAGGCAAGCUUGCUUGCUGAGGUAGGAACCCGCAAGGGGGCACUAUCGACCGAUCUUCACUUGUGAUAGAUUUGAGUAAGAGCAUAUCUGUUGGGACCCGAAAGAUGGUGAUCUAUGCCUGAACAGGGUGAAGCCAGGGGAAACUCUGGUGGAGGCUCGAAGCGUUACUGACGUGCAAAUCGUUCGUCUGAUUUGGGUAUAGGGGCGAAAGACUAAUCGAACCAUCUAGUAGCUGGUUCCCUCCGAAGUUUCCCUCAGGAUAGCUGGAGCUUAUUACACAGUUUUAUCAGGUAAAGCUAAUGAUUAGAGGUACCCGGAUUGAAACAAUUUGGACCUAUUCUCAAACUUUAAAUAGGUAAGACGCCCUUGGUUACUUAACUGAACCAGGGCUUCGAAUGUCGAGCUCUUAGUGGGCCAUUUUUGGUAAGCAGAACUGGCGAUGCGGGAUGAACCGGACGCGCGAGUUAAGGUGCCAAACUAUUCGCUCAUCAGAUACCACAAAAGGUGUUG
rnacentral:rRNA from 1 species